UAACCACAGCAAUUGACGUUACUCGCAGAAGAAGCACCGGCUAACUCCGUGCCAGCAGCCGCGGUAAUACGGAGGGUGCAAGCGUUAAUCGGAAUUACUGGGCGUAAAGCGCACGCAGGCGGUCUGUCAAGUCGGAUGUGAAAUACCCCGGGCCUCAACCUGGGAACUGCAUCCGAAACUGGCAGGCUAGAGUCUUGUAGAGGGGGGUAGGAAUUCCAGGUGUAGCGGUGAAAUGCGUAGAGAUCUGGAGGAAUACCGGUGGCGAAGGCGGCCCCUCGGACAAAGACUGACGCUCAGGUGCGAAAGCGUGGGGAGGCAAACAGGAUUAGAUACCCUGGUAGUCCACGCCGUAAACGAUGUCGACUUGGAGGUUGUGCCCUUGAGGCGUGGCUUCCGGAGCUAACGCGUUAAGUCGACCGCCUGGGGAGUACGGCCGCAAGGUUA
rnacentral:rRNA from 1 species